AAUAAGUGCAUUAAUGAGUUUUCAUGUCCAACUUUAAUCGUCUGUCAUAUUUGAAUUAUUCUAUGAUUAGUAUUUUUGUUGUUAUUAGAUUAUAAAAUAUGAAUAAUACUUUAUGUGUGACUUAUGUUUUUUAGUUUUCUCAAAAAAAAAUUCAAAUAAGACGAACGAUUAAAGUUGGACACGGAAACUCAUGGUUGCGUUUAUU
rfam:Oryza rufipogon genomic scaffold, chr02